rnacentral:rRNA from 1 species
GACGAACGCUGGCGGCGUGCCUAAUACAUGCAAGUCGAGCGAUGAAGGAGAUACUUGUAUCUUUUGAAGAGCGGCGAACGGGUGAGUAACGCGUGGGGAAUCUGCCAAUGAGUGGGGGACAACAUUUGGAAACGAAUGCUAAUACCGCAUAAAAUCUAUUGAUACAUCUCAAGAGAUUGAAAGGAACAAUUGUUUCGCUCGUUGAUGAUCCCGCGUUGUAUUAGCUAGUUGGUGAGGUAAGGGCUCACCAAGGCGAUGAUACAUAGCCGACCUGAGAGGGUGAUCGGCCACAUUGGGACUGAAACACGGCCCAAACUCCUACGGGAGGCAGCAGUAGGGAAUCUUCGGCAAUGGACGAAAGUCUGACCGGGCAACGCCGCGUGAGUGAAGAAGGUUUUCGGAUCGUAAAGCUCUGUUGUUGUUAAAGAACGUUGAUGAGAGUGGAAAGUUCAUCAAGUGACGGUAAACAACCAGAAAGGGACGGCUAACUACGUGCCAGCAGCCGCAGUAAUAC